rnacentral:rRNA from 1 species
GAUGAACGCUAGCGACAGGCUUAACACAUGCAAGUCGAGGGGCAGCAUAAAAGUAGCAAUACUUUGGUGGCGACCGGCGCACGGGUGAGUAACGCGUAUGCAACCUACCUAUCAGAGGGGAAUAACCCGGCGAAAGUCGGACUAAUACCGCAUAAAAACAGGGGCACCGCAUGGUGAUAUUUGUUAAAGAAAUUCGCUGAUAGAUGGGCAUGCGUUCCAUUAGGUAGUUGGUGAGGUAACGGCUCACCAAGCCGACGAUGGAUAGGGGAACUGAGAGGUUGGUCCCCCANACUGGUACUGAGACACGGACCAGACUCCUACGGGAGCAGCAGUGAGGAAUAUUGGUCAAUGGGCGGGAGCCUGAACCAGCCAAGUCGCGUGAAGGAAGAAGGAUCUAUGGUUCGUAAACUUCUUUUGCAGGGGAAUAAAGUGCGGGACGUGUCCUGUUUUGUAUGUACCCUGAGAAUAAGGAUCGGCUAACUCCGUGCCAGAAGCCGCGGUAAAGUCUAG